rnacentral:rRNA from 1 species
CCUACGGGUGGCUGCAGUGGGGAAUAUUGCUCAAUGGGGGAAACCCUGAUGCAGCGACGCCGCGUGAGCGAUGAAGUAUUUCUGUAUGUAACGCUCUAUCAGCAGGGCAGAAAAUGACGGUACCUGACUAAGACUCCCCGGCUAACUACGUGCCAGCAGCCCCGGUAAUACGUAGGGGGCAAGCGUUAUCCGGAUGUACUGGGGGUAAAGGGAGCGUAGACGGCGGUGCAAGCCAGAUGUGAAAGCCUGGGGCUCAACCCCGGGACUGCAUUUGGAACUGUGCUGCUAGAGUGUCGGAGAGGCAGGCGGAAUUCCUAGUGUAGCGGUGAAAUGCGUAGAUAUUAGGAGGAACACCAGUGGCGAAGGCGGCCUGCUGGACGAUGACUGACGUUGAGGCUCGAAAGCGUGGGGAGCAAACAGGAUUAGAUACCCGGGUAGUC